CUGCCCCAUGCACUUGGAAGUCCUUUUCCUGCUUGUUUCAUAUCCAGAGGGAAAGAUUCACGAUGCAGCUUUUAAAGGUAUAAAGCUUUAGGAAUCUCUCAAAUCCCAUUGAUAAGAGACAGGAUGUCUCCUCUGGAUCAUCCACUGAUUGGAUUAUCCACUCCCUUCCUCCAUAAAAGGGGAAUCAGAGGCAGAAGUCCCUGCAUUUUCCAGCAAUCCACAGGCUGUCUGCACAUCAGGAGUGGGGUCAGCAGGACAACUCUGCAGCCAUGGAGGAACCUGCAUUGUUCUGUUUUCCAAGCCAGCCUAUUCUGGGGAAGCUCAAAAUAAAUAUGAUGCCGCAGACUUCAGAGAAGAAAAGACAGGCC